CUCUAUGAUGGGGAUAACAGUUGGAAACGACUGCUAAUACCGAAUACGCUCAUGAUGAACUUUGUGAGGAAAGGUGGCCUCUGCUUGCAAGCUAUCGCAUAGAGAUGAGUCCGCGUCCCAUUAGCUAGUUGGUGGGGUAACAGCCUACCAAGGCAACGAUGGGUAGCCGAUCUGAGAGGAUGAUCGGCCACACUGGAACUGAAACACGGUCCAGACUCCUACGGGAGGCAGCAGUGGGGAAUAUUGCGCAAUGGGCGAAAGCCUGACGCAGCGACGCCGCGUGAGGGAUGAAGGUCUUCGGAUCGUAAACCUCUGUCAGAAGGGAAGAAACUAGGGUGCUCUAAUCAUCAUCCUACUGACGGUACCUUCAAAGGAAGCACCGGCUAACUCCGUGCCAGCAGCCGCGGUAAUACGGAGGGUGCAAGCGUUAAUCGGAAUCACUGGGCGUAAAGCGCACGUAGGCUGUUAUGUAAGUCAGGGGUGAAAUCCCACGGCUCAACCGUGGAACUGCCCUUGAUACUGCACGACUUGAAUC
rnacentral:rRNA from 1 species